rnacentral:lncRNA from 1 species
CUGUCUCUGACUUUUGAAUCUCCACUUCUAACUUCAAGUGCAUAUUCUCUUCUUCCAACUGCUCAAUCUUCUUCCCGAACUCAGAACUCUUUUUCUCAAAAUCCUGAUUUAUAAUUUCCAACUCCGACAGGGCAAUUUGUAACUGUUUCUCCAUUGGUCGAGCGCUUUCCAAACUCAGUCUAGGAAUAUUGUCAUUGACCCUUUUUCUAAACUAUCCAUUAUAUUCGGGUGUUACCAUAGAGCCAACAGUCAAC